GUAAACUCUACAUUCCAUUCCUUGCGUAAGGAAGCCCUGUGAAAAUUCCCCCACUUGGCAAAGAGAAGGCAGGGGAGCCCUUGAAAGCUGCUACUUUACCCCAAAGUUGAAGAGCAAAUUCUCAAAUCUUCCACUGUAAAGAGAUUUCCAAAGGAGACAGGCUCAGGAGGGAGGCAUUGUUAAUUCUUCCUGUUUGACUACAGGCCAGAUCUUCUAGAAGGGAUGCCUUUGUACACAUAAGAUGCACACCUUCUGUGAUGCUAAUCUACGUACUGCUGGUUCGGUCUAAUAACUCAGCUAUCAAAUCCACAGCGACGGGAGGGGAAGUUCUUAUCGGUCCUACAAAGCUACAGUUGGCUCCAUUUCACAGAUGAGGAAUUUGGGCCGUGGAGAAAUGGCUCAGCCAGGCAUCACAGGGUUUCAAAAUGUCAGUCUGAUGAGAAAACACCAGAACUACCAUGGAGAAUGAUAAAUGGAAGAGUAAGCAGCAGAAAAACAACCAAGAACUACACGGCUCAUCAGCUGGGAAUUCCCCAGAGUUUGGCAAUGCUGUGUUUCCUGCCUUAGAAUUUGUGACCCCCGGUUGACCUUUGUAUCAUUUACAUAGAGGGGCUUCUCUGAAAGAAGAACCACAUGCACACUUAAUAAAAAACGGGUGGGGACUCAGAGUCACCCAUGUGCUUCUUAGUUCCUUUUUACCUGAUACAACCUAGAGACAUCUGAG
rnacentral:lncRNA from 1 species